AUUACUAGCUGUCCAGGGCCACAUGCUGUCUGCGGGCCAUAGGUUGGACAUGGCGACUCUAAAGCAAAUUUAUUUUUAGUCAUUGAAGUUCAUUUGCUAGUUUGGUGUGCGAACUGAAAACAAAGCUAGCUGCAUAUUGGAAAUAAAAUGAGGGUUGCCUUGGUUUUAAGAGUUGUUUAAUGUUGUCAUUUCCAAGGCACCAAAUGUCUUGUCAUAAACAGACAACUGAGCAUGUUGUGGGUAACUUUUGUCUCUCUCCUCAGUGAGCAUUUGUAAGCAACUGGGACACAAUUUGAAAAUAUCUCAACUACAGUCUGCCAGGUUGAUGGACUACACUGCUGUAUGCUGCUCCUGACGCAGCUGCCUAUACGUAGCAUAUCUUCUCCAGUGCCUCUUCUCUUCAAAGAGCCUUAAGUUGCCUUUUCUGCUCUUUUAAAUGUGUAGGAAAACCUCUUUUCUUUCUGAGCUUUGUCCUCUCUUGGCUCUUUCUGAAGUUGCUGGCAGGACAGUAGAUGGUAGAAUGACAGAAAAUCAGUGAGACUUGUCCAUGAUUGCUGGAUUCUGGAACUCUGUUUUCUCCUCCAAAGUACAGAUUUCCAGGCUGAUUUUGCCACAGAAAUGAGUAUUGCAAUCACACAGGAAUAUCAAAAGCAGAUCCAGGGAGACCAAGAUUUAUAGGCAGAUAUCAGAAUGGUUAGAAGAUGAUCAAUAAGGAUUUUUGACUCCCAGUUAUUUAACAAUAGCAGCUACACAAUGCCUCCUCUAACUCUAAAUUAUACUACUGAGAUUAUGAAAGAUGGGGUUGUGUGAGAGGCCUUUAAACUCAAAAGCUAAUCCUUGAUCCUUCUUUAAUUUUUAGCAUAUACCUGACUUCAGUUGAUUGAUAGAGAAAAAGCAGAAUAGAUCCAAGUCUAAAAAGUGCCCUUCCCUCUGAUAAGAGGUACAAAUAAGCAGAUAAUUGAAUUGAAUUCCAUUCCACUUGUGUUUUUAACAUCAGAGCAAAACAUGCUAUUUCUUACUAUUAAUAUGGUUUGCACUGUCAUUUUAAUUAUCCUGUUGGAGCAUUUUAUUGAUAAGUGUUUUAGAAUGAUUUUGGAAUUGAGAAAUGCAUUGCAAAAUUUGAACGAGUGCAAAUCCAAGAGAUAGUUAUAAGUUGAUCCAGAUGUCCAUUGGCAGAACAUUUAUCUGAUUAAUUCUCACCAGAAUGUGUUAAUCAUCUCUAAUGAGUUGUUUCAUUGAUGGAAUUCAUAUAUGCUAAACCAUGGCUUGCUUAAACACCACACACACAGACACAGAUACAGAGAGAGAGGGGGACUCUAAAUUAAGUCCUCCCAGUGACUCAAAAGAUACUUUUUUAAAAGGCACCUGGACUGUUGUUUCCUUGAGGAAGAAGAAAACAUUUCGCUUCUUAUCCAAGAAAAGCUUCUUGUCCCAAAAUGUUUUCUUCUUCUUCCUCAGGGGGGGAAAAACAGUCCAGUUGCCUUUGUAAAAGCACCUUUGAGACAACUAUGAUCCAGGUGAUUGAGAAUAUCUACAGACAUUUUCCUGGUGAGUUAGAGGGAUAUGGGAAUAUUGACAAAAGGUUGUGGUUGCAUGGCAGACUUACCCAUAAUUACCCAACCAUAGUUUAUUCAAUUUGCCUAAUGUUCUGCAUUUGCAUGACCUACUUAAACAUACACCAACUGUACAGACUGGUUCACACAACACACUAGGCUGAAACCUAGCUGGCUACUUUGGAAGUCUGCACAAACAGUCCAUGUGUCAUUUCAAAGACCUACCUGUCUCAAGAAUGGGCAGCUUAUGGCCUGCAGAUCACAAGCAUAUUGAUUUAAGUCCCUUUUCAUCUUCUGGGACAGUUUAAGGUGAAGAUAGGAAUGAAUUCCUUUUGGGAGUCUUGAACUUCCACCCCGUGGCCAAAAAAAAUGGGUUUCAGCUCAGGAGACUGACUCUCAAAUAUUGCCAUAAAAUUGACCUAGUUUAAAACUGGUGCCAUUUCUCCAAGCGAGAUGGUCAGUGCACAUAUUAUUUUAAAUCAUGCUGAGUAAUUAAUCUAUUUUAUACUGGAGACGCCAGACAAGUUUUAUUAGUCUACAGUAAGUUUCAAAAUGGGGAACUUUUCUUAGACUUGCUGCCUUAAUAUUUUAAAUGCAUAUAAUGUGACCUAAUAGGCAACUAAUAUUUUUCCAGGGUGAAUACCCCACCACCACUUCAGUGUGCAUUUGUUCACAUUUGCACUGUACACAAUGCAAAGUCUUGCAGAUGAGGCAGAGACAUCAUUCCCUCAGGAAUGUGGUGUGAAGUUUUUGGGUUGUUGUUUUUUAAGGUUACAGAUCUUGUGUCUUAAAUCAAAGAUACAUACAUAGAGCUGAUAGAAUCUCUGAAACCAAACUAGGAGUCUGAAGACAGAUACCCAUCUUGUAUGCAAGGAAUUUUCAAAGCCAUUGUUCCUUCUUGAAAAGAAUAGGUAUAAGAUUCUAUGAAGAAAACUGCAUAUGUAGAUUAAGUCUGCUUCAUCUAAAAUGAUGAUAGUUGCUAGAAGCAGUUUAACAAUGCAAAACUUGAGUUACCUUGGCAUAAAAUAAUGGCUUUAUUUAUUACAUAACAUUGCACCUCUUCCUCAUGACAUCAAUCCAUGCUGAUUAUUAUUGUGAAUAAAUUCUGAUUUAGUUUUGUAUUUUCUUAAUGCAUUAGGAUGUUUUUUAACAUAAUAUUUGCAUUUAAAAUUGUAUUUUAACCUUUUCCUCUCCCCCU